GUUUUUAUUUUUUCUUAAUAAAAGGCGCUGGAAGGCGCUGAAUUUAUUAUUAUGCAGUACAUUAAAGAGAGUUAUUACAAUGCUGCACUGAUCUUAUCGAAACAAUCCCUAGUAACUCUUUGCGGAAAGUAGAGAAAGCAAAUAAAGAUUGUUCACUCCAGAAGUGUUCGUCACACUCAGAGUUAGUAUGUGAGUUACAGUUGUUCCCAAACUGCGCUAGUGUAUGCGCUACUUGGUUUCCUUCACGGUAGACAUGCCUAACUUCCGGCUGGCCCAGUGCGUCGAAUAGGAACCUGCAAUCAUGGAGAAAAUUAGCAUUAGCUUUGUUGUGAGAAUUGUCUUGCAAUAGGUUAAGUAAUACCUGAUAGUCUGUUUCCACUAUAAUCGGAGUUCGAUUUUUUAUAAAAGCAAGUUCCAAUCCUUUUAGUAGGGCGAUGACUUCUGCUUGGAUGGGUGAUGAGACCAUUGUAUGGUAGGAGAAUCUAUCAAUCCAUUUUUCUUCGGAAUCUCUUAUGUUUCCACCUGCUCCUCCAAUGAUGGAGUAUUUUUGGUGUGCACCAUCUAUAUUGAGUUUAUAGAUGUUUUGUGGUGGGGGUUCCCAUUUUAU
rnacentral:lncRNA from 1 species